rnacentral:lncRNA from 1 species
AGCAUAUGAAAAAAAAAGCAAAAAGAAGGAAAAUUGUGAAGGGAAAAAUUUAUUAAAAAUUUUCAAAGUAGAAAAAAAAAUAAUAAAAUUUUUUUUUUGAACUUUAUAAAAAUUAUUUAAAAAUAAAUGAAAAAAUAAAUUAAGAGAAAAAAUUAAAUAAAAUACCAAAAAAGGAAAAAAGAAAAAUAAAAAAAAGAAAAAUGUAACAAAGUAAGAAAAUAAAAAAUUAGCGAAUCAAAAGAAUAUAAAAAGACAAAAUGAAUAAAAAUUUCAAAUAUAAAAUGGAAAAACUUUUAGUUUAGAAUGUACAAAAAAAAAUAUAACAAAUAGAGGACAAAGAUAUAAAAUAUGAAAGAUGAAAAAUAAAGUAAAAGCUAAUAAAAACUAAAAAGAAAAGAAAGUGCACAAAAAAAGAAGUUUGAGGUUUUAAAAUUAUAAAGAAGAAAUAACAAAAAGUGUGAACAAAAAGAUUUAAGAAAAAAAAUAAAAAUACAAAAUACAUAAAAUAAAAUUUGAGAAAAAAAUAAAAAAAUGAAGAGGUAAAAAAAUGAAAGAAAAGAAAAAGAAAAAAAUUUAUAGAAAAUUUUAAAACAAAGGAAAAAGUGAACAAAAAAAUUACAAAUGAAAGCACAUAGAAAAAAGAAGAAAAAUUUGAAAGGAGAAAAAGUUAAUGAGAAAUUAUAAAAAUGGCAUAGAAAAUAACCAAGAAUGAUAAAAGAAAAAAAGAUAGAAAAAUAAAAAAUUCCAAAACUUUAUAAAAAUUUAUGAAACUAUAAACAAAGAAAGAAAAAAAAAUAAAAAAAAGAUAAAAGAUAAAUAAAGCACAAAAAAAGAAAAAAUACAAAAAUACAACAAAAAAUAUAAAAAGUAAGAAAAUAAAAAGGGACAAAAAUUGAAUAUUCCAUUUCAAAAAUGAAAUGGAAUGACAAAAUGAAAAAAAAAAAGUUUAAAAAAUACAAAAAAUUGAAAAACAUAUAAAACCUAACAAUAUAAAAAGUCAGACAAAAAAUUAAAAAAGAGAAAAGUUAAUGCAAAAUAAAAAAAGUAUGAGAAUUUAAAAACGCAAAUAAUAAAUGAAACGAAAUUUGUGGAAAGAAAAAAGAAAAGCAAGAAAAGAAUAAAAAUGAAAAGUCAAAAGAUUUGGAAUAAAAAAUUUUAAAACAACAAAAAAAUUAAAACAAGUAAAUAUGAAAGCAUAUGAAAAAAAAGCAAAAAGAAGGAAAUUUGUGAAGGGAAAAAGUUAUUAAAAAUUACAAAGUAGAAAAAAAAAUAAAAAAAAAAAAUUUGAACUUUAUAAAAAUUUUUUAAAAAAUAAAUUAAGAGAAAAAAUUAAAUAAAAUACCAAAAAGGAAAAAAUAAAAAUAAACAAAAAGAAAAAAGUAACAAAGUAAGAAAAUAAAAAAUUAGCGAAUCAAAAAAAUAUAAAAAGACAAAAUGAAUAAAAAUUUCAAAUAUAAAAUGGAAAAAACUUUUAGUUUAGAAUGUAGAAAAAAAACAAAAAAAAAUAUAACAAAUAGAGGACAAAGAUAUAAAAUAUGAAAGAUGAAAAAUAAAAUAAAAGUUAAUAAAAAAUAUAAAUAAAAAUAAAAGAAAGUGCACAAAAAAAGAAGUUUGAGGUUUUAAAAUUAUGAAGAAGAAAUAAAAAAAAAGUGUGAACAAAAAGAUUUAAGAAAAAGCAAGAAAAAAAUAAAAAAGGAAAAUACAAAAUACAUAAAAUAAAAUUUGAGAAAAAAAUAAAAAAUGAAGAGGCAAAAAUAUGAAAAAAAAGAAAAAGAAAAAAAUUUAUAGAAAAUUUUAAAACAAAGGAAAAAGCGAACAAAAAAAAAUGAAAGCACAUAGAAAAAAGAAGAAAAAUUUGAAAGGGGAAAAAGUUAAUGAAAAAUUAUAAAAAUGCCAUAGAAAAUAACCAAGAAUGAUAAAGAAAAAAAGAUAGAAAAAUAAAAAAUUCCAAAACUUUAUAAAAAUUUAUGAAACUAUAAAGAAAGAAAGAAAAAAAAAACAAAAAUACAACAAAAAGUAUAAAAAGUAAGAAAAUAAAAAAGGACAAAAAUUGAAUAAAAAUUUCAAAAAUGAAAGGGAAUGACAAAAUGAAAAAAAAAGUUUAAAAAAUACAAAAAAUUGAAAAACAUGUAAGACCUAACAAUAUAAAAAGUCAGACAAAAAAUUAAAAAAGAGAAAAGUUAAUGCAAAAUAAAAAAAGUAUCAGAAUUUAGAAACGCAAAUAAGAAAUGAAAGGAAAUUUGUGGAAGAAAAAAGAAAAGCAAGAAAAGAAUAAAAAUGAAAAGACAAAAGAUUUGGAAUAAAAAACAGAAAAAUUAUAAAAUUUUAAAACAACGAAAAAAUUAAAACAAGUAAAAAUGAAAGCAUAUGAAAAAAAAAGCAAAAAGAAGGAAAAUUGUGAAGGGAAAAAGUUAUUAAAAAUUUUCAAAGUAGAAAAAAAAUAAUAAAAUUUUUUUUUGAACUUUAUAAAAAUUAUUUAAAAAUAAAUGAAAAAAUAAAUUAAGAGAAAAAAUUAAAUAAAAUACCAAAAAAGGAAAAAAGAAAAAUGUAACAAAGUAAGAAAAUAAAAAAUUAGCGAAUCAAAAAAAUAUAAAAAGACAAAAUGAAUAAAAAUUUCAAAUAUAAAAUGGAAAAACUUUUAGUUUAGAAUGUACAAAAAAAAAAUAUAACAAAUAGAGGACAAAGAUAUAAAAUAUGAAAGAUGAAAAAUAAAGUAAAAGCUAAUAAAAACUAAAAAGAAAAGAAAGUGCACAAAAAAAGAAGUUUGAGGUUUUAAAAUUAUAAAGAAGAAAUAACAAAAAGUGUGAACAAAAAGAUUUAAGAAAAAAAAUAAAAAUACAAAAUACAUAAAAUAAAAUUUGAGAAAAAAAUAAAAAAUGAAGAGGUAAAAAUAUGAAAGAAAAGAAAAAGAAAAAAAUUUAUAGAAAAUUUUAAAACAAAGGAAAAAGUGAACAAAAAAAAAAUGAAAGCACAUAGAAAAAAGAAGAAAAAUUUGAAAGGAGAAAAAGUUAAUGAGAAAUUAUAAAAAUGCCAUAGAAAAUAACCAAGAAUGAUAAAAGAAAAAAAGAUAGAAAAUAAAAA